rnacentral:lncRNA from 1 species
GCGCCGCGCCCUGCGGAUGGCAUCGAUGGCAUUGGUGGCACCUGGUGACAUCCGGUGUCACCUCCGCCAGCUGCCGCGCCGCGCCCUGCGGAUGGCAUCGAUGGCAUUGGUGGCACCUGGUGACAUCCGGUGUCACAUCCGCCAGCUGCUGCGCCGCGCCCUGCGGAUGGCAUCGAUGGCAUUGGUGGCACCUGGUGACAUCCGCUGUCACCCAGUGUCACCUCCGCCAGCUGCCGCGCCGCGCCCUGCGGGAUGGCAUCGAUGGCAUUGGUGGCACCUGGUGACAUCCGGUGUCACCCAGUGUCACCUCCGCCAGCUGUCGCGCUGCGCCCUGUGGCAUCGAUGGCAUCAGUGGCACCUGGUGGCACCCGGUGUCACCUCUGCCAGCUGUGCCCUGCGGGAUCGAUGGCAUCGGUGGCACCUGGUGUCGCAGAACAUCACCCAACAUCACCUGGUGUCACCCAGCAUCUCCUGGUGCUACCCAAUGUCACCCAAGGUCACCUGAUGUCACCUGGCAUCGCUCAGUAUCACCUGGUGUCAUCCAAUGUCACCCAACGUCACACCAAUGGGGGCAGAGGGAGCAAAGGGACUUAAAAUAAGGCCAAAGGGACACAAAAAGGAAUUGAGGACACCGCAGGGACCAAAGGGACCUGAAAGGGGGCUGGGGACCCCCAGAGGGACUGGAAAAGGCACCACAGGGACCUGAAAUGGG